rnacentral:rRNA from 1 species
UCAACUUGAGAGUUUGAUCCUGGCUCAGAACGAACGCUGGCGGCAGGCUUAACACAUGCAAGUCGAGCGCCCCUCCUUCAAGCAAGCUUGAAGGUCCUUUGGCCGAAGGCCAGGAAAGAGGAUCAAGAAAGCCGAGCUUUCUUGAUGGAGGGGAGCGGCAGACGGGUGAGUAACGCGUGGGAAUCUACCUAGCUCUACGGAAUAACCCAGGGAAACUUGGACUAAUACCGUAUACGUCCGAGAGGAGAAAGAUUUAUCGGAGUUAGAUGAGCCCGCGUUGGAUUAGCUAGUUGGUGGGGUAAAGGCCUACCAAGGCGACGAUCCAUAGCUGGUCUGAGAGGAUGAUCAGCCACACUGGGACUGAGACACGGCCCAGACUCCUACGGGAGGCAGCAGUGGGGAAUAUUGGACAAUGGGCGCAAGCCUGAUCCAGCCAUGCCGCGUGAGUGAUGACGGCCUUAGGGUUGUAAAGCUCUUUCAACGGUGAAGAUAAUGACGGUAACCGUAGAAGAAGCCCCGGCUAACUUCGUGCCAGCAGCCGCGGUAAUACGAAGGGGGCUAGCGUUGUUCGGAAUUACUGGGCGUAAAGCGCACGUAGGCGGAUACUUAAGUCAGGGGUGAAAUCCCGGGGCUCAACCCCGGAACUGCCUUUGAUACUGGGUAUCUAGAGUAUGGUAGAGGUGAGUGGAAUUCCGAGUGUAGAGGUGAAAUUCGUAGAUAUUCGGAGGAACACCAGUGGCGAAGGCGGCUCACUGGACCAUUACUGACGCUGAGGUGCGAAAGCGUGGGGAGCAAAC